rnacentral:tRNA from 1 species
GCGGAAGUAGUUCAGUGGUAGAACACCACCUUGCCAAGGUGGGGGUCGCGGGUUCGAUUCCGGUCCUCGGCACCA